rnacentral:lncRNA from 1 species
CUCUUUUCCUCUUGCCUCUCAAUUCUUUGCACUAGCACUAUGAAAACCUUGAUAAUUUAACCUUGGACGAGCUUGACUUUAUAUACGUUAAGUGGGUUUCUUUUUCAGAAUGGCCAAGCGCGAGCUCGUACUUCCUUCGCGCAUCAUUAUGCCUCAGGUCCUUAACACAUGUAGCCUUGCGCAUGAGCUCGCGCAUUUUUUCACACACUUGGGCCAUCAUUUCUUCCAUUCUUUGUCUCGUCCUUGCGUGCACUCAGCUCCGAGGGAUCGUUCUUGCUCAUAAAUCAUUCCAAUAGCCUCUUGAAAGCAUCACAU